GACCAUAUCAUGAUGAAACACCGGUUUUCAUACAAUCACCAAAGUUAAGCAAUGUCAAGCCUGCUCAGUACCUAGAUGGGUGACCAUUUGGGAAUACAAAGUG